GUAACAAUGGGGAACUAACUCAUUUCUAAACAUUAUUUCUUAGGGGUUGGAGUACUAAGAAGCAAAGAAGUCAAAGAACACACAGCAGAAAGUGUACCUUACAGACCACCGCCGUGCUCAGUAAGCAGAGGCCAAACUUGGAUUACACCUCAUGACAUCAAGUGCAGACGUUCUUCUUGCCCCUGCUAUAUCCCCGAGGCUUCCCCCUCAGGACAGAAAAAGGUUGCUGAAGUCCCUGACUUACCAUGUGUGUAUUCCAGUCAUUGGCAAGGAGGAAGGAAAGACGGGUGAACAUGCCUUUCCUUUCACGACACUUUGUAUGACUGUCUCGUUGCUUAGAAGUUACACAGGAGCAGUAUGAAUCGGGAUGAUUAGUAUGACCAACAGAAAGACCGAAAAUUGUGAUCUUUACUGCUCAUAACCAGAAGCACUGCACGAAUGAUGACGUCUACACUGAGGAAGAAGGGGAGAGCUGAAAUUGAGAGAUGGUCAGGAGGGUCAGCCUGAACUUACAACACUAGGUAGCACUCUGGUUGCCUACAUAAUCGUUUUGAAAGGAUAGUGUUUUUCUCUCCUCUGUUGAUACUCAAUACAAAUGAGACCUACAGUUUGUAGUUAGAGAAGCCUAGACCAACAGGAGCAAGUUGUUAGCUUGGUAGCCUGAUGCCCUGGGUUUAUUCUCAGGGUCUUGUCAAUUCCCUACUUCCUCAAGAUGGAGCUACAAUUUUGGUGAAUAAAGCCAGAGUCGGUUACAUUAGUUUCGCAAAGUAACUUCCAGGUGGAGAGGAGAGUGAGGGACCCUUCCUCAGAGCAACUCCCUGACAGUGUAUCCAUACAUGACUGUAUUUUAAGGGUUUCAAAAAAGUGACAAUUCUUCUAAUAA